rnacentral:rRNA from 1 species
GGAAUCUUCCACAAUGGGCGAAAGCCUGAUGGAGCAACGCCGCGUGUGUGAUGAAGGCUUUAGGGUCGUAAAGCACUGUUGUAUGGGAAGAACAGCUAGAAUAGGAAAUGAUUUUAGUUUGACGGUACCAUACCAGAAAGGGACGGCUAAAUACGUGCCAG